rnacentral:tRNA from 1 species
GGGCGUGUGGCUCAGUUGGUAGAGCGUUCGCUUAGCAUACUUACCUACAGGUGUAUGCGAAAGGUCCUGGGUUCGAUUCCCAGCUCGUCCA